UUCGGGUUGUCAUGCCAAUGGCACUGCCCGGUAGCUAAAUGCGGAAGAGAUAAGUGCUGAAAGCAUCUAAGCACGAAACUUGCCCCGAGAUGAGUUCUCCCUGAGACUUUAAGUCUCCUGAAGGAACGUUAAAGACGAUGACGUUGAUAGGCCGGGUGUGUAAGCGCAGCGAUGCGUUGAGCUAACCGGUACUAAUGAACCGUGAGGCUUAACCUU
rnacentral:rRNA from 1 species